UGCAGUCGAACGAUGAAGCCCAGCUUGCUGGGUGGAUUAGUGGCGAACGGGUGAGUAACACGUGAGUAACCUGCCCUGGACUCUGGGAUAAGCGUUGGAAACGACGUCUAAUACCGGAUAGGACCUUCGACCGCAUGGUUGGGGGUGGAAAGUUUUUCGGUCUGGGAUGGACUCGCGGCCUAUCAGCUUGUUGGUGAGGUAAUGGCUCACCAAGGCGUCGACGGGUAGCCGGCCUGAGAGGGUGACCGGCCACACUGGGACUGAGACACGGCCCAGACUCCUACGGGAGGCAGCAGUGGGGAAUAUUGCACAAUGGGCGAAAGCCUGAUGCAGCAACGCCGCGUGCGGGAUGACGGCCUUCGGGUUGUAAACCGCUUUUAGUAAGGAAGAAGGGGAGCUUGCUCCUUGACGGUACUUGCAGAAAAAGGACCGGCUAACUACGUGCCAGCAGCCGCGGUAAUACGUAGGGUCCGAGCGUUGUCCGGAAUUAUUGGGCGUAAAGAGCUCGUAGGCGGUUUGUCGCGUCUGCUGUGAAAUCUGGAGGCUCAACCUCCAGCCUGCAGUGGGUACGGGCAGACUAGAGUGCGGUAGGGGAGAAUGGAAUUCCUGGUGUAGCGGUGGAAUGCGCAGAUAUCAGGAGGAACACCGAUGGCGAAGGCAGUUCUCUGGGCCGUAACUGACGCUGAGGAGCGAAAGCGUGGGGAGCGAACAGGAUUAGAUACCCUGGUAGUCCACGCCGUAAACGUUGGGCGCUAGAUGUGGGGACCUUUCCACGGUUUCCGUGUCGUAGCUAACGCAUUAAGCGCCCCGCCUGGGGAGUACGGCCGCAAGGCUAAAACUCAAAGGAAUUGACGGGGGCCCGCACAAGCGGCGGAGCAUGCGGAUUAAUUCGAUGCAACGCGAAGAACCUUACCAAGGCUUGACAUGACCGAGAACGCCGCAGAAAUGUGGAACUCUUUGGACACUCGGUUACAGGUGGUGCAUGGUUGUCGUCAGCUCGUGUCGUGAGAUGUUGGGUUAAGUCCCGCAACGAGCGCAACCCUCGUCGCAUGUUGCCAGCACGUAAUGGUGGGAACUCAUGUGAGACUGCCGGGGUCAACUCGGAGGAAGGUGGGGAUGACGUCAAAUCAUCAUGCCCCUUAUGUCUUGGGCUUCACGCAUGCUACAAUGGCCGGUACAAAGGGCUGCGAUGUCGUAAGGCGGAGCGAAUCCCAAAAAGCCGGUCUCAGUUCGGAUUGAGGUCUGCAACUCGACCUCAUGAAGUCGGAGUCGCUAGUAAUCGCAGAUCAG
rnacentral:rRNA from 1 species